AGGGUUCGAUUCUGGCUCAGGAUGAACGCUAGCGGCAGGCUUAACACAUGCAAGUCGAGGGGCAGCGCGGGGUAGCAAUACUCUGGCGGCGACCGGCGAAAGGGUGAGUAACGCGUGAGCAACAUGCCCGGUACCGGGGGAUAGUCGAUGGAAACGUCGUGUAAUACCCCGUAACAACAGAGGCCGCAUGACCUUUGUUUAAGAGAUUUAUCGCUACCGGAUUGGCUCGCGUCCCAUUAGGCAGUUGGCGGGGUAACGGCCCACCAAACCGACGAUGGGUAGGGGUUCUGAGAGGAAGGUCCCCCCACAUUGGAACUGAGACACGGUCCAGACUCCUACGGGAGGCAGCAGUGAGGAAUAUUGGACAAUGGCCGAGAGGCUGAUCCAGCCAUGCCGCGUGCGGGAGGACGGCCCCUAUGGGUUGUAAACCGCUUUUGUUGGAGAGCAAUAAGGUCCACGUGUGGAUCGAUGAGAGUAUCCAGCGAAUAAGCAUCGGCUAACUCCGUGCCAGCAGCCGC
rnacentral:rRNA from 1 species